GGCAAACUGUUGCACACUCACAACAUCCUCCCCAGAGCAAGGACAGAACUGUUCUCCCUCCUGGAAUCACCAAGAUCUUCCUCAAACCGCCCUGUGCUGGUGGCCGUGGUGGUAUAAAGACUCCCUGUCCAUUUACUGCAGGCUCCAACUCCAUCCUAACCACCAUGAGAUGGUCAAGGAAACUGUCUCCUCUCUCUGCUGAUUUCCAUGGCUUUGAACUGCGACCACACACCCACGUGGCACUGAAGAGAAAAGGUCACAUCUGGAAAAACAUCCUUAUUCUGAUGCAUGCAGAGUGACACAUAAUCAAUUCUAUUUCACACAGUGCAAGCUUGGUGAGGCAAAUUCUUGCCAUACAAUUGAAUCUCUUUCUUUUUAAAUCAGGAAAAACAGGUAUAUAUUGAUUUUAUGAUGCCGAAGUCAUGAUUAUUUAAUGUAAAAACUGAUAGCAGCCUCAAGUUUCCAGGCGUUUACGUUCUCCCAGUCUUUGCCUGCAAAAUUGCUGCAGGAAAAACAAAGACCAUCAGAUUUUGCCCACGAAUAAAGCAACCUGCUGGAUAGAAAUAAAAGUGAAUAAACUUUGCAGCUUAGCAAAACUAAGCAAACUUU